AUGUCAAUGCUGGUGUGCUGCGGGUAGCUCUGCAUGGUGCCAAAGGGCAGCUGCUGUGCCUGUGUCCUUACAGCCUCGCCUAUUAUAGGAAGGAUUUCUGACGUUCUGCUCAUGAGUGCAGCUUCUUGGCAGGAGUCAUUGUUCUUCAGGGGGAAAUAAAGAAAAAGGCUUUCUCCAUCCAGCCUUGUGGGGCCCCAGCCCUUACAGAGCUGGGGAGCAGGAAGCCAGGCCAAGCACAUAGCUGAACCCCUGCCAGGUCAGCUCUGUCCGGGAGUAUUGGUCGGGUGCCUGGGGCCUUUCCAGGGUCAUUUUGGACAUGGCUGGAGCUGUAGGCGUGAUUUCUGCCUUGCCCCAAAGCUGGGAUGGGGGUGUUGUGAUAUUGAAAAGCUCCAGGGAGGAGGGAAGAGGUAUCGUCAUCUCACUUUCCCUUCGAAGCUUUUCAGGAAAGCACAGCAUCAUUGGAGUUUGGGAUACGGCCACCCCACCCAAAUGAAGCCCACUCAUGCAUACCACUGGAGAUGGGGUAGGAAAUGCUUCACCCCUGUGCCCUUGUCAUUGCCACGGUCCAUUUUGUCCAAACCUGUGAGUUGCAUUCACUCAGCUGGGUCCUGUCACAUCUUGGAGCUUAGGGACAUGGUUAGUGAGCAUAGUGGUGAUGGGUUGAUGGCUGAAUGAGAUGAUCUUUGAGGUCUUUUCCAACCUUAAUCAUUCUAUAAUCCCUGUCAUGCUCCAGAGGGUGACAAAGGGGACAGUUGUUCAAUAGCAUCGCUGUGGAGGCUCUCCUACUCCCACCCCCAUCCUCUAAAAAAGAAGAGCCAUGAGACAAAAGUGAAAGAUACCUUUACUGUGUUUUUGUUUUGUUUGUUUUUACAGAUGAGGUGCUUCCCUUAGGGCUUUUACAGGCACUUGGAGCAAUAGCAAAAAGGCAGAGUGAGGUGGCAAGCGGCAAAGUCUGCG